UUUGACACGUGUGUGACAACAUCUUGAAAAUCGUAUUGUUCAAGGUCAUCUUUUUAUAGUUGUUAAAAAAUGCUUGUUUGUCUGCAUGACGUUGCCUAUAGGGGCAAUUUAAUUCAUGGUUUUUUGAUUUUGUCCCAUUUGUGUUGUGAUGUUUUAGAAGAUUUCUUGAACUUAGGAAAACACUUUGCGGUCGAUAGGCCGGAAGUGCAUACAAUGAAAAAUCUGGAAAAGUUUAUCUAUUUUUAUAUAAACAAGUCUGGACACG